AUGAGAGGCGGGUACCAAAUGCGGGCUGUCUUGUUGGCAAAUGUUUUUUUUUUUUUUUUUUUUUUGUGUGUGUGUGUGUGUAUGUGUGUGUGUGUGUGGUUUUCUGGACUCUGUAAGCAAAAAUGUGCUGCUUGCCACCUGUGGAGGGGCGAGGGGACAGGAGAAGCGGACUGCAGAGCCUGGGCCCCUGCCCUGGGGACCCCAGUGCAGGCUUGCCGACUGUGGAGGGGCGAGGGGACAGAAGGUCUCUUCUCGGAAGGCCCUCCUGUGCCCUGUGCCAGGGGAGCAGGUGCCACAGGGCAGGGGCGGAUGUGCUGCUGGCCGUGUAGUUCCUGCACCCGCCCCCCCAGGACCCAGACAGGGAAGGGGCCAUGGGGACUGCGGAGACCCCAGGGCAGGAUGGCUGGGGGCCACAGCCCUGUCCAGCCAGCGACCCUGCUCCGGCCUCAGGCACAGAGCUCCUCGCAGCUUCCUGGGCCUCAGGCUGUGCCGUGGGGAGGCUCCAGCCCCAAAUGUCCUUCCACAAAGCGUCCUUUGUGGGUUCCACAAAGGCACCCCUCGCAGCCCCAGGCUCGGGUAACUCUGUUCCAGCCCUGCAGCUGCCCACAGAGUCCUGGGCCUGGGCCUGGACUGGCCAGUGAGGGCUCUCAGACAGUGGGCUGGACACGGCGUGGCGAGGUUCACGGCUCUAAGUCCGAAAGAUGCUUCCGUGGGCUGUUCCGCUCCCUGCGAAGGAGCAGAGGGGCUGUGGUUGGGCCUGCCCCUUCCUGCCCGAGCCAGGCUGGGCUGGGCGGCUCCCAUCCUUCUCACUGGGGUGCUGGGCCCGAGGCCAGAGCUGACCCCGUCAGGAACCCCCUCCUCCUGCGCCUCCUGGAGCUCCUCCCAGGGUGUUCUUCCCAGGCAUCUCCCAUCUCCACUGGGCCCCCUGCUGCGGUUUUUGGGCUCCUUGUUCCACAAAGGGAAGAAAGUGCCUGCAAAGGAACCGAAAUACAAGAUUUUUUUAUUUUAUUUUUUGUUUUUCUCUCAUCUCUGGACUCUGCUUAUUGUGGUGCCUUUAUAAUGUUUCAAUCUGAGCAAAUAAAAUUAAAAUUUCCUAUCAUUAACAUGAAUCUUGGGGCUGGGUGA
rnacentral:lncRNA from 1 species